CUCAAUUAUAAUUGAUGUAGGCCAUAAUUCAGAACCAAAUUAUAACAUAUAAAGCCAUAUGAUCUUUGAGGAAUAUAAUAGAUCAGAAGACAGUGUCAUUUGGAUUGAUUAGUGCUGUUUCUCGAGCCUUGUUAGAGGUGAGAAAAGGCUUAGUUCAAUAGGAUCUUCCAUUUUUUUUCUUUUUCUUAAAGUCAUGCACUCCAUUCCCUCCUUGAUGCACAGCCCCUAACUCGGAUGCUGUGCUGUGCUCACAACACUUUCCCACUUGUGUAUCAAUUCCACUGCUUUUUUUUUUUUUUUUUUUAAUUUCAUAAAGGCAGACUACAUGAUGAUUUUAUUUAAUGAUUUAAUAAAACUUUUCCUCCUGAGAUAGGUGCAAGAAAUCUUGCUGAUCUAUUACUGCUUCUACCCAAGCAUGAAAGUAUGGUUAUAUACGAUACAGCAAUACUGAAGCCAUAAGCAAAAAAAUUAAAAGCGUAUCAGAACGAAGACUUUACCCUGGCUGGAAGGUGAUUGGGCACCAGGAGGAGUUCCAGCCCCAGAGCUAACAUGCUGCUCAUUUGGGUCCAGAUAAUAAUGGAGAAAUUACAACAUGUGCCGUAGAAGAUUACACACAUCCUGCCACACUUUGCAGAUGGCUGAUACAAAAAUCAGAGACAAUGCUAAAACAAUUUAAAAACCCACAAAUAAACCAGUGCUUUCAGCUUCUUUGUGAGGCUGUGGCUAAGGAAACUGAGCCAGCCGGCCUGAAAUGCAC
ensembl:lncRNA